UUUAAUGAGAGUUUGAUCCUGGCUCAGGACGAACGCUGGCGGCGUGCCUAAUACAUGCAAGUAGAACGCUGAGGUUUGGUGUUUACACUAGACUGAUGAGUUGCGAACGGGUGAGUAACGCGUAGGUAACCUGCCUCAUAGCGGGGGAUAACUAUUGGAAACGAUAGCUAAUACCGCAUAAGAGUAAUU
rnacentral:rRNA from 1 species